UUUCGAUAGCCAUCGAGGGAGGAGGAGAACGAGGGCAGUUAGCUUUGCGUUUCGGAGGAACCUCUCUGCACGACUGUCACUUUCCCUGUUAGCCCUGGAGACAGAUAAAGAGCCAGCCAGGACCACACUGCUCCUUCUCCGCUCUUCCUCUCCCAUCUGGUCCCGCCCAUUGAAAUCGCCGGUUGGAAGGAAGGGGCCCGUUCGACAAAAAUUCAGAUCUAGGGUUGCCCUCUAGACCCUACUGAAUCUGAAUUUCUGGGGAGAGAAAAUCUGUUCAACAAGCAAUGCAGAGCCUCCUUCACCUGAUGACGGUAAACUUCUGAGACAUCGGAACCUGGGCCGGGAGCCAGGCCACGAGCACCUGCCUUCCACAAGCCCCGCCUCCCAGAAACGAAGCCCUAGUGGACUGGGCAGUGCGACUUUGCUGUACAUCCUGACGCAUCUGAACUGACACAAUUUGGGGUGAUUAGAGGCACCCGCGUGUUCGCC